CAGGUUGUGUUUAUCUUCCACAUAGACUGUGUCUGUGGCCCUGCCUUCGUGAACCAUCUUUGUCACCAUGCAAUACUGUACACAAGAGUCCAGCCAAGGCCUAGCUAAAGUGUUUUAGUCUGAAGAAGGGUCUCGACCCGAAA